rnacentral:rRNA from 1 species
GACAUAGGUCGCAAACGUUAUCCGGAAUUAUUGGGCGUAAAGGAUGCGUAGAUGGUUCAAUAAGUUACUGGUGGGAAAUCGAGGCUCAACCUCGUGAAAGUCAGUAAUACUGUUGAACUUGAGUGCAGGAGAGGUUAACGGAACUUUAUGUGGAGCGGUAAAAUGCGUAGAUAUAUGAAAGAACAUCAAUAUGGCGAAGGCAGUUAACUAUUCUGUUACUGACGUUGAGGCAUGAAAGCGUGGGGAGCAAAACGG